rnacentral:rRNA from 1 species
AAUAAGCGGAGGAAAAGAAACUAACAAGGAUUCCCCUAGUAACUGCGAGUGAAGCGGGAAAAGCUCAAAUUUAAAAUCUGGCGGUCUUUGGCCGUCCGAGUUGUAAUUUAGAGAAGCGUCUUCCGCGCCGGACCGUGCACAAGUCUCCUGGAAUGGAGCGUCAUAGAGGGUGAGAAUCCCGUCUUUGGCACGGAUGCCUGGUGCUCUGUGAUGCGCUCUCGAAGAGUCGAGUUGUUUGGGAAUGCAGCUCAAAAUGGGUGGUGAACUCCAUCUAAAGCUAAAUAUUGGCGAGAGACCGAUAGCGAACAAGUACCGUGAGGGAAAGAUGAAAAGCACUUUGGAAAGAGAGUGAAACAGUACGUGAAAUUGUUGAAAGGGAAACGCUUGAAGUCAGUCGCGUCGACCGAGACUCAGCCUUGCCUCGGCUUGGUGUACUUCUCGGCCCGACGGGUCAGCGUCAAUUUUGCCCCUCGGAUAAUGGCAAGGGAAAGGUGGCACCUUUACGGGUGUGUUAUAGUCUCCUGUCGCAUGCGAGGGGUGGGAUUGAGGAACUCAGCGCGCACCUUUGGUGUCGGGGCUUCGGCCCACGUCACGCGCUUAGGAUGCUGGCGUAAUGGCUUUAAACGACCCGUCUUGAAACACGGACCAAGGAGUCCAACACGCCCGCGAGUGUUCGGGUGGAAAACCCGUGCGCGUAAUUAAAGUGAAAGUUGGGACCUCUGUCGUGGAGGGCACCGACGCCCGGACCAGACCUUCUGUGAC